rnacentral:rRNA from 1 species
CAGUAGCCGCGGGAAUACAGAGGGUGCGAGCGUUAAUCGGAUUUACUGGGCGUAAAGCGUGCGUAGGCGGCUAAUUGAGUCGGAUGUGAAAUCCCCGAGCUUAACUUGGGAAUUGCAUUCGAUACUGGUUAGCUAGAGUGUGGGAGAGGAUGGUAGAAUUCCAGGUGUAGCGGUGAAAUGCGUAGAGAUCUGGAGGAAUACCGAUGGCGAAGGCAGCCAUCUGGCCUAACACUGACGCUGAGGUACGAAAGCAUGGGGAGCAAACAGGAUUAGAUACCCGAGUAGUCCCUGUCUCUUAUAC